rnacentral:rRNA from 1 species
AUUGAACGCUGGCGGCAGGCCUAACACAUGCAAGUCGAGCGGAUGAAGGGAGCUUGCUCCUGGAUUCAGCGGCGGACGGGUGAGUAAUGCCUAGGAAUCUGCCUGGUAGUGGGGGAUAACGUCCGGAAACGGGCGCUAAUACCGCAUACGUCCUGCGGGAGCAAGUGGGGGAUCUUCGGACCUCACGCUAUCAGAUGAGCCUAGGUCGGAUUAGCUAGUUGGUGGGGUAAAGGCCUACCAAGGCGACGAUCCGUAACUGGUCUGAGAGGAUGAUCAGUCACACUGGGACUGAGACACGGUCCAGACUCCUACGGGAGGCAGCAGUGGGGAAUAUUGGACAAUGGGCGAAAGCCUGAUCCAGCCAUGCCGCGUGUGUGAAGAAGGUCUUCGGAUUGUAAAGCACUUUAAGUUGGGAGGAAGGGCAGUAAGUUAAUACCUUGCUGUUUUGACGUUACCAACAGAAUAAGCACCGGCUAACUUCGUG